CUCGCUCGCUGCCAGGUGGAGGAGGAGCCCGCUUGGGUUCGGCACCUGCUGCUUAGCUCCGUGCCCUGCUGCUCCUCGCCCUGAAAGUCUCCACGAACAGCCCAGGCGUCUUGCAGAGGACUGCACCAGCUGAUGAAUAACAGACACAGAGAGAAAUAUUAAGAAGAAAUUGUAUGCAGGAACAUGAAGUUUCUUUAGCUUAAUACAUGAGCUUUGACUACCAAAGCAUCCAGUACAAACUAUCAAGAAUCUGCCAGUAAGACACACUGGACUGAUGACAGGAAAUGGAUGGAUCUAUAAAAUGCAGUUGUUGUUCUGACCCUUUUUCCUGAUGGAAUCCACAAGGAAGGAUAUCCCCACUUUUGCAUGGAGCCUGGAGCCGUCCUUGUGGGCCGCUGGAAACACAAUUCCCGCUCGAGCUGUUCUGCUAUGGAAGAGACUUAAAUGGAGAUAAUACAAAGUGUCAGCACCCACCGGGAUUCCUUUGCAGAAAUUUUGGGUGCAGAGCAGAGGGCUGGAGGAACUGAGAAUCAGGCCCUUUCGUUUUUUCAUCACAUCUGUUGCCCCCAUAUGUCUUGUAAAAGUGUAAAAUAAUUGAAAUCGUGGAAGUGAGUCCCAGAAAGCAAUUCUAUCUCUCUUGGUUAAUACUAAGAACUUGAGAUCAUUAAACGAGACUUACUUUAGAUACAAAAUCAAUAAUUCAAAUUUUUGCAUUGAGACAUAGCAGAUAAUUAGUGGCUAAGUGCCCAAUAUGCUAGUGUAUAAUGUGUUCUGCUUACAACAUAAUAAAAAGGCAGUUAGUUUUAGACCUCAGUCUAAUUAAUUAAGCUAAAAUACAGCUCCUAAGUCAAGUUGCAUUUAUUGAUUUUGCUUGUGGUAUAUUUUAACCAGAUACAAUAC